rnacentral:rRNA from 1 species
GAUGAACGCUGGCGGCGUGCCUAAUACAUGCCAGUCGAGCGAACAGACGAGGAGCUUGCUCCUCUGACGUUGGCGGCGGACGGGUGAGUAACACGUGGAUAACCUACCUAUAAGACUGGGAUAACUUCGGGAAACCGGAGCUAAUACCGGAUAAUAUAUUGAACCGCAUGGUUCAAUAGUGAAAGACGGUUUUGCUGUCACUUAUAGAUGGAUCCGCGCCGCAUUAGCUAGUUGGUAAGGUAACGGCUUACCAAGGCAACGAUGCGUAGCCGACCUGAGAGGGUGAUCGGCCACACUGGAACUGAGACACGGUCCAGACUCCUACGGGAGGCAGCAGUAGGGAAUCUUCCGCAAUGGGCGAAAGCCUGACGGAGCAACGCCGCGUGAGUGAUGAAGGUCUUCGGAUCGUAAAACUCUGUUAUUAGGGAAGAACAAAUGUGUAAGUAACUAUGCACGUCUUGACGGUACCUAAUCAGAAAGCCACGGCUAACUACGUG